GAUAGAGAGAGUGAGAGAGAGAGAGAGAGUUUUUUUGUUUUUUGUUUUUUGUUUUUUAUUUUUUUGGUGAGAUUUUAGGUUUUUUGAGUUUUUCUUUUCCUUUUGAUUCUCUCUUUUUUUGAGAGUCUUGUCUGAGUUUACUUGUUGGGUGUUGGAAGAAAAAAAAAGAGUGA
rnacentral:ribozyme from 13 species